GAUGAACGCUGGCGGCGUGCCUAAUACAUGCAAGUCGAGCGAACGGACGAGAAGCUUGCUUCUCUGAUGUUAGCGGCGGACAGGUGAGUAACACGUGGAUAACCUACCUAUAAGACUGGGAUAACUUCUGGAAACCGUAGCUAAUACCGGAUAAUAUUUUGAACCGCAUGGUUCAAAAGUGAAAGACGGUCUUGCUGUCACUUAUAGAUGUAUCCGCGCUGCAUUAGCUAGUUGGUAAGGUAACGGCUUACCAAGGCAACGAUGCAUAGCCGACCUGAGAGGGUGAUCGGCCACACUGGAACUGAGACACGAGCCAGACUCCUACGGGAGGCAGCAGUAGGGAAUCUUCCGCAAUGGGCGAAAGCAUGACGGAGCAACGCCGCGUGAGUGAUGAAGGUCUUCGGAUCGUAAAACUCUGUUAUUAGGGAAGAACAUAUGUGUAAGUAACUGUGCAAAUCUUGACGGUACCUAAUCAGAAAGCCACGGCUAACUACGUG
rnacentral:rRNA from 1 species